GACGAACGCUGGCGGCGUGCUUAACACAUGCAAGUCGAACGGAAAGGCCCUGCUUUUGUGGGGUGCUCGAGUGGCGAACGGGUGAGUAACACGUGAGUAACCUGCCCUUGACUUUGGGAUAACUUCAGGAAACUGGGGCUAAUACCGGAUAGGAGCUACUGCAGCAUGGUGGGGGUUGGAAAGUUUCGGCGGUUGGGGAUGGACUCGCGGGUUAUCAGCUUGUUGGGGGGGUAGUGGCUUACCAAGGCUUUGACGGGUAGCCGGCCUGAGAGGGUGACCGGCCACAUUGGGACUGAGAUACGGCCCAGUCUCCUAUGGGAGGCAGCAGUGGGGAAUAUUGCACAAUGGGCGGAAGCCUGAUGCAGCAACGCCGCGUGCGGGAUGACGGCCUACGGGUUGUAAACCGCUUUCGCCUGUGACGAAGCGUGAGUGACGGUAAUGGGUAAAGAAGCAACGGCUAACUACGUG
rnacentral:rRNA from 1 species